AGGUGCGAUCAUACCAACACUAAUGCACCAGAUCCCAUCAAUACUUCGCAGUUAAGCGUGUUUGGACGAGAGUAGUACUAGAAUGGGUGACCUCCUAGGAAGUCCUUGUGUUGCACAUU
rnacentral:rRNA from 1 species